rnacentral:lncRNA from 1 species
UGAAUUUUGAUAAAUAUAUGACUACAUGAAAUAUAUUGAAUUUACCUAAACAUAACCAUAUAUUAGUCGGUAAUCGAAGGAAAUCUCACAUAUCCUCAGUAAAAGAAAGGUCACAUAUACAAAUUGGCUUUCUAUAACAACAUACAUAACAAUUUAGAUAGUAAAUAUAACUAAUCAUCACAGAUAACAUGCAAUAAGAAAUAGAUUGUAUACAUGGUGCAUAAAUGAAAUCUUCACAUGCCUAUACCAAAUGGGCACCAUGUUCGAAAACAAAGAAUUAUGUCAGCCCAAUGCACCUGGCCAUUUCUUGUGGAGGGCAUCACAUUCAUACGACGGUCCUAACAAGGAUUAAAUUAGCUGCAAUAUCAAAUAGAGAUAUACUAAAUACUACCAUGCGAGCAGGAUAUGUGGUAAUCACAUUUCUCUUUUUUGUUUAGUUGUAUUGUUAAAGAGCAACCAUGCUGAAAUCUAUAUGUAAGGAAGUGGCAGACCGGCGAUUUCAUUUUAUACAUGAAAAGGCUUAUCAAAACAAACUAGCAUGGAAAAUGGUGUCGCUACACUUGCACAAAUUAAAUAAUUCCCAAAUUGAAAUGUCAACCAAUCACCAACCACCUGUGUUGCAUACAGAAAACAAAAAUUUCCCAGUCAGGUCAUGCUAAUUGAUAUAUCAAGUAACAUCAUGUAAAGAUGAAAUACAAAGAGUAUUACAACAAAAGUGACUACUGAAAUAAAUGCAAGAUAUGCGCAAGAUGCAGUACGCCUAGCAUGUAUCCAGUGCGUCCUACUUGAGCUGCUCAAGCUAGAUAUCAUUACUUAGUUAUGCAUUAGUACUAAAAUAAAUUUCAUCAAAGAUUCAAUCAAAUUUUAUUGCAUGAGUAUCCACAUACAUAAAACUUGUUCAUCUGUGGAAACAUAUCAUCCGUUCAUCUAGCAACAAUCAAGUUAUUGCAAGUUUGAAUAAAAAAAUCUUGGAGAUUAUGUAAUGCUUACUCUCAAACUUUUUGUUUAUACAGUAGUGAUAUUCUUUGUUUCACUAUUUAUCUUUGGAUUCUUAUCUAAUGACCCAGGACGGAAUCCUGGACGCGAGGAGUAAAAAUUCCAUUUUUUGUUCUUAUUGGAUUUGUUUCGUACAUUUAUCUAUGAGAAAAUCCGGGGGUCAGAAUUCUUUCCAAUUCGAAAGUCCCAAAUGAUCCAAGGGAGCGGAAAGAGAGGGAUUCGAAACCUCGGUACAAAAAAAUUAUACAACGGAUUAGCAAUCCACCGCUUUAGUCCACUCAGCCAUCUCCCCACGUUCCAAAAAAAUUGUACAACCCAAAAAAUGAUGUCCUAAAUUUAAACCCAGCUAGAGUGAUUAGGUUUUCUUAUCUCUAAGAAUUAUAUACUAAGGUUAAGCGUUCUAAAGAAAGACAUUACAGGAAUUUGUACCCAACAUUGCUUUCUGCUUAUUUUUUUGCAUACCUUGGAAGUCGGAACUGUAAUAAGAAAAAUAAGUACUUAUUACCUCCAGGUAAAGAAAAUGGAAUAGAUCUUUGUGUUCUUGAGACCAGCUUGUAAGGUUCAAUCAUAUUCGCCACAUGGUGUCAGUGCCAUCACAAGGUAAAAUUAGAUAUUAAGUCUGUACUCACGUACUAAUGAAUUAGAGAGCAAAAAUAUCAUACCUAAUUUAUAAUCUUCAUGUAAUACUACUGCAACUCAUAACUGAAAAAGGAC